rnacentral:rRNA from 1 species
CCUACGGGUGGCUGCAGUCGAGAAUCUUCGGCAAUGGGCGAAAGCCUGACCGAGCGACGCCGCGUGCGGGAUGAAGGCCUUCGGGUUGUAAACCGCUGUCGUAGGGGAGGAAGGUUCUGCGAAGAGCAGAAUUUGACCGAUCCUAGGAGGAAGGGCCGGCUAAUCUCGUGCCAGCAGCCGCGGUAAUACGAGAGGCCCAAACGUUAUUCGGAUUUACUGGGCUUAAAGAGUUCGUAGGCGGCUUGGAAAGUGGGGUGUGAAAGCCCUCGGCUCAACCGAGGAAUUGCGCUCCAAACUCCCAAGCUUGAGGAAGCUAGAGGUGAGCAGAACAGAUGGUGGAGCGGUGAAAUGCGUUGAUAUCAUCUGGAAUACCGGAGGCGAAGGCGGCUCACUGGGACUUUUCUGACGCUGAGGAACGAAAGCCAGGGUAGCGAACGGGA